ACGAACGCUGGCGGCUGCUUAACACAUGCAAGUCGAACGGAGUGGCGAACGGGUGAGUAACGCGUGAGCAACCUGCCUAUGACAGUGGGAUAGCCUCGGGAAACCGGGAUUAAUACCGCAUAGUCAUAGAUGGGCUCGCGUCUGAUUAGCUAGUUGGUGAGAUAACAGCCCACCAAGGCGACGAUCAGUAGCCGGUCUGAGAGGAUGAACGGCCACAUUGGAACUGAGACACGGUCCAAACUCCUACGGGAGGCAGCAGUGGGGAAUAUUGCACAAUGGGGGAAACCCUGAUGCAGCGACGCCGCGUGAACGAAGAAGGUAUUCGUAUCGUAAAGUUCUGUCCUAUGGGAAGCAGUACCAUAGAAGAAAGCUCCGGCUAAAUACGUGCCAGCAGCCGCGGUAAUAC
rnacentral:rRNA from 1 species